UACGGAGGAUGCAAGCGUUAUCCGGAUUCAUUGGGUUUAAAGGGUGCGUAGGCGGACUAUUAAGUCAGUGGUGAAGGCCUGCAGCUUAACUGCAGAACUGCCAUUGAUACUGAUAGUCUUGAGUUUGGUUAAGGUAGGCGGAAUGUGUAAUGUAGCGGUGAAAUGCUUAGAUAUUACACAGAACACCAAUUGCGUAGGCAGCUUACUGAGCCGACACUGACGCUGAGGCACGAAAGCGUGGGAUCGAACAGGA
rnacentral:rRNA from 1 species